UACGAAGGGGGCGAGCGUUGUUCGGAAUUACUGGGCGUAAAGGGCGCGCAGGCGGCUCUGAGAGUCAGAUGUGAAAGCCCCGGGCUUAACCUGGGAAUUGCAUUUGAUACUCUGGAGCUUGAGUACGGGAGAGGAGAGUGGAAUUCCCAGUGUAGAGGUGAAAUUCGUAGAUAUUGGGAAGAACACCGGUGGCGAAGGCGGCUCUCUGGACCGUAACUGACGCUGAGGCGCGAAAGCGUGGGGAGCAAACAGG
rnacentral:rRNA from 1 species